UUCCUACGGGAGGCAGCAGUAGGGAAUAUUGGGCAAUGGUCGGAAGACUGACCCAGCCAUGCCGCGUGCAGGAAGACGGCCUAUUGGGUUGUAAACUGCUUUUAUCUGGGAAGAAAAAGGCCAUGCGUGGCAAAUUGCCGGUACCAGAUGAAUAAGCACCGGCUAACUCCGUGCCAGCAGCCGCGGUAAUACGGAGGGUGCAAGCGUUGUCCGGAUUUAUUGGGUUUAAAGGGUGCGUAGGCGGCUGAUUAAGUCAGCGGUGAAAGACUUCGGCUUAACCGGAGCAGUGCCGUUGAUACUGGUCAGCUUGAGUGCUGCAGGGGUACAUGGAAUUGAUGGUGUAGCGGUGAAAUGCAUAGAUACCAUCAGGAACACCGAUAGCGAAGGCAUUGUACUGGGCAGCAACUGACGCUGAGGCACGAAAGUGUGGGGAUCGAACAGGAUUAGAUACCCUGGUAGUCCACACUGUAAACGAUGAUUACUCGCUGUUAUGCCAAUAGGUGUAGCGGCCAAGCGAAAGCGUUAAGUAAUCCACCUGGGGAGUACGCCGGCAACGGUGAAACUCAAAGGAAUUGACGGAA
rnacentral:rRNA from 1 species